UUCAUUCUUCAAAUGUCUUUA
rnacentral:piRNA from 1 species